rnacentral:misc_RNA from 1 species
GAGACGCAACGUGGAAGUGGUUUUGAAUUUUGGAAAAUGAAUAGAAAUGGUGAUGCCGAACGUGUCCUUAUGCUACUAUUUUCUGGCGAUCGAUGCCGAGAAUGGCGUUUUUGUUUAUUUAUUUAUGUCUUUCUGGGGAUACUUCAUUUAAGUCUACUGCUAGAUAGAUUGUGCUUAUUCUGCUCGUUUAUCUUGCUCUCGCUUUUGGGUUGCUGAUAACUUUGUAUUGUUUAUUGUCUGAAAUUCCAGUGAAACGUAUCGCUAUUUUGAUCUGCCCUUCUGUAUUCCAGCUUCUUAUCAGUUAUCUCUGCUUGUGCUUCA